rnacentral:rRNA from 1 species
ACUCAAAUGAAUAGACGGGGGCCCGCACAAGCGGUGGAGCAUGUGGUUUAAUUCGACGCAACGCGAAGAACCUUACCUACUCUUGACAUCCAUGGGAUUUUGCAGAGAUGCGAAAGUGCCUUCGGGAACCAUGAGACAGGUGCUGCAUGGCUGUCGUCAGCUCGUGUCGUGAGAUGUUGGGUUAAGUCCCGUAACGAGCGCAACCCUUAUUCUUAGUUGCUAGCAGGUAAAGCUGAGAACUCUAAGGAGACUGCCGGUGAUAAGCCGGAGGAAGGUGGGGACGAGGUCAAGUCAUCAUGGCCCUUACGAGUAGGGCUACACACGUGCUACAAUGGGCAGUACAGAGGGAAGCGAAGCCGCGAGGUGAAGCGAAUCUCAAAAAGCUGUUCGUAGUCCGGAUUGGAGUCUGCAACUCGACUCCAUGAAGUUGGAAUCGCUAGUAAUCGCAGAUCAGAACGCUGCGGUGAAUACGUUCUCGGGCCUUGUACACACCGCCCGU